rnacentral:rRNA from 4 species
UGACCUCGGAUCAGGUAGGAAUACCCGCUGAACUUAAGCAUAUCAAUAAGCGGAG